rnacentral:rRNA from 1 species
UACGUAGGGUGCGAGCGUUGUCCGGAAUUAUUGGGCGUAAAGAGCUUGUAGGCGGUUUGUCGCGUCUGCUGUGAAAAUCCGGGGCUCAACCCCGGACUUGCAGUGGGUACGGGCAGACUAGAGUGUGGUAGGGGAGACUGGAAUUCCUGGUGUAGCGGUGGAAUGCGCAGAUAUCAGGAGGAACACCGAUGGCGAAGGCAGGUCUCUGGGCCAUUACUGACGCUGAGGAGCGAAAGCGUGGGGAGCGAACAGG